rnacentral:tRNA from 1 species
GGCAUGUUGCCAGAGUGGUUAAUGGGUGAGACUUGAAUUCAUUAGCGAAUUUAAGCCAUCUCAUGGUUUCGGCCGCGUAGGUUCAAAUCCUGCACAUGUCG